UACGCGUUUUAAUGGCGACCAGUACAAUACACGGGAUUGGGCUUUACGUGAGGAAAGCAGAUUGCAUAGAAAUAAUAUCAUUGAAUUACCACUUGUGCCGAUGGAAAAGAGUUUGCUUCCUCCACUCCUCAUCAAACUGGGUAUUGUAAAAAAUUCUAUAAAAGCAUUGAACCCAGAUGGGAUUGCUUUUACCGAAUUGCGUCGAAUUUUUCCACGAUUAAGCGGUAUGAAAGUAAAAGAAGGAAUUCUUAAUGGACCGGACAUCCGUCGUCUAAUGAAGGACCAACAAUUUGAAGUUGCAUUGAAUGAAAUCGAGCUAUUGGCCUGGAAUUGUGUGAAAUUAGUAAUAGAAAAUGUUUUAGGAAAUCAUCGGUCUGAAAAUUGGAGAAUUUUAAUUGUAAAUAUGCUAACCGCAUUUAAAAACUUAAACGUCAGAAUGUCAUUGAAAAUACAUUUUUUGCAUUGUCAUUGUUCAAAAUUUAAUGAACAAUCACCAGCCGAGUCUGAUGAACAUGGCGAGAGGUUUCACCAAGAACAGCCAGACUCGAACACAAAAAACUUGAUUCGCUUUUAGGGAAUAUUUGCUGGAAUCUGCAGGAGGAAAUAACGGUAUAUCUCGAAAAUACGAACUAACCUAAAAAAAACGGUUAGCACCAGUGAAUUCAGCGUAGGCGAAUUAGUUUAACCCACCGGGUGCCCCGCUUGACAGUUUUUUCAACUAGCAUAGUGUAAUACUGAAACAUGAAAAACAAUCAUAAUGAUUUUUUUUUCUGUGAAGUACUUCGGAAUUAAAGCCUAUGUAUUAAUUCGUAAUGAAUUCUUUAAGGAAAUGAUUAAGAGAUUAAAUUUAAUCUGAUUUUGAAAAUUAAAUUAAAAAUUACUUCGUUCGAACCUUUGAUACCAUAAUAUGUAUCUCUGCUUUAUAUAGUCCCUGUUGCAAAUAAAAAAUACACCGUAAUUAAAGAUUUUAAUUUCAUUUAUUUUGGCACACAAAUAUGACAAUUUUUCUUUCUUUUUACUUAUAGAACCAUUAAUGUAUAAAUAAUAUCCACAGAAAAAUAUAUUUUGAUUCUGUUCUAGUGUUUUAUUUAUGUGCAAUUAAAGAUAAAUAAUAUAAGGUUUAAUAUUCUUUAAAUUAUAAUAGUUUUUAAUAUCAAUCAUUCCUUUUAAUAAAGCGUUAAUAAUACCAAAAUAA